GACGAACGCUGGCGGCGUGCCUAACACAUGCGAGUCGAACGGAAAGGCCCUGCUUUUGUGGGGUGCUCGAGUGGCGAACGGGUGAGUAACACGUGAGUAACCUGCCCCUGACUUUGGGAUAACUUCAGGAAACUGGGGCUAAUACCGGAUAGGAGCUCCUGCUGCAUGGUGGGGGUUGGAAAGUUUCGGCGGUUGGGGAUGGACUCGCGGCUUAUCAGCUUGUUGGUGGGGUAGUGGCUUACCAAGGCUUUGACGGGUAGCCGGCCUGAGAGGGUGACCGGCCACAUUGGGACUGAGAUAGGGCCCAGACUCCUACGGGGGGCAGCAGUGGAGAAUAUUGCACAAUGGGCGGAAGCCUGAUGCAGCAACGCCGCGUGCGGGAUGACGGCCUUCGGGUUGUAAACCGCUUUCGCCUGUGACGAAGCGUGAGUGACGGUAAUGGGUAAAGAAGCACCGGCUAACUACGUG
rnacentral:rRNA from 1 species